GAUUCUAAAUUAAACUAUUCCUUG
rnacentral:tRNA from 1 species